GAUGAACGCUGGCGGCGUGCCUAAUACAUGCAAGUCGAGCGAACAGAUAAGGAGCUUGCUCCUUUGACGUUAGCGGCGGACGGGUGAGUAACACGUGGGUAACCUACCUAUAAGACUGGGAUAACUUCGGGAAACCGGAGCUAAUACCGGAUAACAUUUGGAACCGCAUGGUUCUAAAGUGAAAGAUGGUUUUGCUAUCACUUAUAGAUGGACCCGCGCCGUAUUAGCUAGUUGGUAAGGUAACGGCUUACCAAGGCGACGAUACGUAGCCGACCUGAGAGGGUGAUCGGCCACACUGGAACUGAGACACGGUCCAGACUCCUACGGGAGGCAGCAGUAGGGAAUCUUCCGCAAUAGGCGAAAGCCUGACGGAGCAACGACGCGUGAGUGAUGAAGGGUUUCGGCUCGUAAAACUCUGUUAUUAGGGAAGAACAAAUGUGUAAGUAACUGUGCACGUCUUGACGGUACCUAAUCAGAAAGCCACGGCUAACUACGUG
rnacentral:rRNA from 1 species